rnacentral:misc_RNA from 1 species
AGAAGUAACAUCAAGGAAAGAUCAACAACAGUAUUGGAUUCUUAAAGAUCAGCCUUACUGUUAUGUCACAGUUAAGGAAUUUUCUGAGGCAUUUCAGUCAUUCCAUGUGGGAAGAGAUCUUGAAAAUGAGCUUUCUACUCCAUUUGAUAAGACCAAGAGCCAUCCAGCUGCUUUGACAACUAAAAAAUAUGGUGUUGGAAAAAUGGAGCUGCUUAAAGCUUGCUUCUCAAGAGAGAUCUUGCUUAUGAAGAGGAACUCAUUUGUCUAUAUCUUCAAGCUCACCCAACUUGCUAUAAUGGCAAUGAUUGCAAUGACACUCUUCUUGCGAACUGAGAUGCACCGAGACUCUGUGACCGAUGGAGGAAUUUAUGUGGGUGCAUUAUUCUUCUCUGUGGUUUUUAUCAUGUUCAAUGGUUUAUCAGAGAUGUCAAUGACCAUUUCAAAGCUUCCGGUAUUUUACAAGCAAAGAAAACUCCUGUUCUAUCCUGCAUGGGUGUAUUCUCUUCCUCCAUGGAUCAUUAAAAUACCUAUCACGCUUGUGCAAGUUGCUCUUUGGGUGUUCAUUACCUAUUAUGUUAUCGGAUAUGAUCCUAAUGCUGGAAGGUAACAAAAUUUAUAAAACAAAGGGAUAAUAAGACAAAUAUCUAAUACAAUUAUUGGUACUUGUUAUGGAAUUUACUCUGUUAUAGCUGAUGGACAUUGUGAUGUACUGUUGUAGCUAAUGGACAUUUUGAUGUACUUUCGACAGGUUAUUUAGGCAGUAUCUUCUGCUCGUUCUUGUUAGUCAGAUGGCUUCUGCAUUAUUUCGAUUUAUUGCUGCAGCAGGAAGGAAUAUGAUUGUUGCUCAGACCUUUGGGGCAUUUGCAUUAGUCCUACUUUUUGCAUUGGGUGGCUUUGUCUUGUCACGAGAAAACAUAAAGAAAUGGUGGAUAUGGGGUUACUGGAUAUCACCAUUGAUGUAUGGGCAGAAUGCAAUUGUAGUUAAUGAGUUCUUUGGGAAGAGUUGGAGUCAUGUUCUCCCAAACUCAACAGAACCAUUGGGAGUUCAAGUUUUGAAUUCUCGAGGAUUCUUCCCACAUGCAUAUUGGUAU